GACGAACGCUGGCGGCGUGCCUAAUACAUGCAAGUCGAGCGAAUGACGAGAAGCUUGCUUCUCUGAUUUAGCGGCGAACGGGUGAGUAAUGCAUCGGAACGUGCCCAGUCGUGGGGGAUAACGCAGCGAAAGCUGCGCUAAUACCGCAUACGAUCUAUGGAUGAAAGCGGGGGACCGUAAGGCCUCGCGCGAUUGGAGCGGCCGAUGUCAGAUUAGGUAGUUGGUGGGGUAAAGGCUCACCAAGCCAACGAUCUGUAGCUGGUCUGAGAGGACGACCAGCCACACUGGGACUGAGACACGGCCCAGACUCCUACGGGAGGCAGCAGUGGGGAAUUUUGGACAAUGGGCGCAAGCCUGAUCCAGCAAUGCCGCGUGUUUGUAGAAGGCCUUCGGGUUGUAAAGGACUUUUGUCAGGGAGGAAAUCCCUAGCGUUAAUACCGCUGGGGGAUGACAGUACCUGAAGAAUAAGCACCGGCUAACUACGUGCCAGCAGCCGCCGUAA
rnacentral:rRNA from 1 species